GCUCUGAGCUGUCAACACAGAGCCUGAUGCAGGGCUCAAAUUCACCGACCGCGAGAUUUUGACCCAAGCUGAAGUCGGAGGCUUAACAAGCUAAGUCACCCAGGCCCCUAUGGGAGCUCCAUUAUUAAAGCUGAGUGGUUCUGUGUGGUCACACAGCAAAGGCCUUUGAUGGGGACUUAUGGCACAGAAGUGGGUGCAUGUCCCCCACUUCUCUGAGGAUGUCUGCAGGGGGCCCAGGAGGGCAGGGCAGGUGGCCUCUUAGCUCUGAGGUUGGUUCCUUUCCAUCCUUGUGAUGUCCCUACACCCAUAGGCAGGGACAGGAUGUUUUAGCUCCUAAAUUCUUUAAUAAAUCUAUAGAAUCAUACUCAACACAGGUAAGGAUAAUAUGAGAUAGGCUGCUGCUGGUGGGAAUACUACUGCUAUAAACUACCUGAAGGACAGUUUGGCAAUAUGUAUUAAGAGACUUUUAAAAACAUGCCCAGUUACUGAUCCAGGGAUUCCACUUCCAGAAAUAUAGCCCAACUAAAUACGAUGCCAAUUUGGUAAGAUGAUAAGAUGAUCAUCUUAGGUAUGAUCACAUGCCUUCAUGCAUAAAGAUGCUCACUUCCACCUUAACAUGGCCUUAAAAUAAGGUAGUUGUUAAGUAAAUUAUACUUGCUUCUUGCAGUAGAAUAUUAGGUAGUCAUGAAAAAUAAUGUUUAUAAGAGGGGAAAUUCUUUAAGAUAUCAUAUUUAAUAAAAGAAGCCAAACAAAAUUAUAGAGUUCAUACUACUGAGCAAUGUAAAGGAAACAUAGGCAAACAUUUUUGAAAAUUUAUGACUAAGUGUUAAUCAUGGUCGUAGUUGGGUUACCAUGGACCCUUCUGUUACAGAUUAUACCUGUCUAUAUAUUUCCUGUGAUGUUGGCAAUCAGUAUAAAACAAAUAAAUAAACAUGAAAAAGCUGAGAGAGAGAAAAAAAUGCCCUGUGCCAAAGCAUCUGUGCUGGGACCCAGACAGCAGCCCCAUGAGGAGCACUUGAGGGGAGGACCUGAGUGCUGAGUCACCUCCCCUGCACUUGGACUUGACUCAGCUGGAGGCAGGUGAGCCUGCAGCUCCAUGGCCCUUAUUUGACUCCUCUCCCAGUGUCCAUCACUGGCUGAAUGUGAUGUUGACUCAUCCCUGUGUACACUUGACAUACUUCCUUUAAGUUCGUGUCAGGAAUGUGCACCAACUUGUGUGUGAAAAUGGCAGAAACAAUUCUACCUCUGUACAAAUUUCAUACAUCAGAUCAGAAAGGACCAGAAGAGCAACUCUGGAAGGAGUCCAUUUUUAAAUCGAGUCCCUUUAUCUGUCAUCUUUGUCCGGCCCUGUCAUCCCAGCCCCCAACCUUUUGAUAAACAGGACACAGCUUGCUAGGAGACGCCCUUUCAUGAUUGUCAAGGAAUGUCUGAGCCCCUCACACAUCAUUAGGAGGUCAUUGAACAGGGCCCCUGACUUUUGCCUGGGAGCCCAGGAGAUCAGUCAUCACUGAAGGGCCCACUAAGGAGAAUUUCAACUGGCUCCACACUCAGAGCAGACCUGGAGGUGCCUCCGACAGAAGAGCUUUCCAAGUCAGGCUGACACUGGCAUUUCCCAGACAGGAUCUCAGAGAUCCUUUCCCCCUCUGCUUUAAAACAGACACAGUCAAGAUUUCUAUCCUUCCAAGUGGGAAGAGAAGGAUCAUUUUGUAGCUAGACUGCAAUGAAAAUAUUCUCUGCAGGACGCUCUGCCCUGCUUCUGAGGGUAGAGAGAAAAUGUACACACGGCACUCUGUUAUAGGACUCCUAUGGCAAGGCUCAGAAUACACCGCAAGACAAACUAUAUCCUCGGAAACCUAACAUCUCCUUGAAUGGAAAAACUUCAUGGAACUGUAUCUCUCAGGACAAAGAUUUCAAUGCUCCACAAAUAAGCCAAAUUUGAGGCUCUCAACUGAGAACUCUGAAGUCUGGAACCUGGGGCUAAGAAGUCUCCUGUUUUUAUUAAUUAAAGAAGAUGUUUCAAAAUCAUCAGAUUUAUCACGACUGGAUUUCAGAUGUGAAACUCAAUAUACACACAGACAUGCAUGGCUUGUCCUUUUUGGUUAUUUUUGAUCCUUCCUGAGGAUCUGCAUUUCCUCAGAUGAGACCUCUUCGCUUCCUGGGCUGGCUGAGAUGUCUGGAGACCCAACGUUGCAGGCCUGGGCCCCUGCUGGCCUCAGGAAUUUCAAAGGCCAGGGAGGGAAGAGUGGGCAAAGUGGCUCCAAACUGCCAUUUGCUCCUCUAAGCCCCCAAGGCAGUAGCUGUGGGAAAGAAGACAGGAAGUCACCCUGUGCCGAAAGAGUGUCCUGGAUGUGCCUGCAGGUCUUGGAGCUGACUGGUUUGAUGCGGUGCCAAGUUUUGGUUUUGUUAUUUUGGUAGUCACCUAACCAUGUGGGCUUUAAAAUGAUGCUCCCAGCUUGGGCAUGAAGCAUUGCCAUUUGUAGUGUGUGGUCAGCCUUCUGCUUCUCUCUGCCAUCAAAACCCGUCAGCUCUCACUCCAAGGGGCAAACCUGAACCAGAUUUUCAGCCGCAGGGGUCUUGGGAUGAAGAUUUGUGCCUGGCCUACCAUUCUCACACGGGGUAUAUUAUAUAACAGGAUCCCUACUUUUCAGGCCCUUACAACAAAGCUGUUCAGCAAAGACUUGGCCUCGGGGCCUGAGAAGAGCAAGAUGAGAAACAGCACUGUUUGGACAACGGGGGACACCCACUGGAGCUGGGGUGGUUGGGGACGGUUUCCAUCAGUCGUGGUGGUUUGACGUGGGUGGAAGACAUUCCACAGUAAAGGGGACUGUCUGAGUACAAACAGGAAGGCAGGGAUGUUCCUCAUGUAGAGGCGGUCAGUAGAGUACACUGGGGUGGAGGGUCCCUCAUGAAGAGUAAUAUCUCACAUGGUUUCUCAGAAUCGGUGCAUAUUUUCACAUAAUUGUUUCCUUUUGAUUGUGGGAUCAUAGCAAUUUGUACCAUAAGCAGGACAGACACUGUUGAUUCCAUUUUACAGAUGAGGAUACUGAGGCUCCUGCUGAGUAAAUGACUUGCCUCAGUCACCUUA